UUUAAGUUCUGGAGCCUGCCUGUGUUCAGAAUCCAGCUCUCCCGUUUGCUAGCUGUCAGACCUUGGGCAAGCUUUGUGCUGAUGAACAUGGUCACCUUGAAAGGUGUGUUGAAUAUGGCAGAGCCAGAAAAUGCAAGGAGCUUCUUCUCUGGAUCACCACUUGAAGAAGAGCCACUUGCUCCUCAGGAACCCUAUUUUGGACUGACGUUGCAAGAAAGCUCAAGUAGCCUAUGGAGAGGAUGCAAGGCUUCCAGCUGAUGCCCUCAGCCAGGCUCAGUAGCAGCCAGAACUAGCCUACCAACGAACCUGCUGAUCAUGUGCAUAAGCCACCUUGAACGUCGAUCCUCCUGCCUGGUGGAGCCAUCCCAGCUGAUGCCACAUGAAGCAGACACAAGCUGUCCCUACUAAGCUCUGCUCAAGUUGGAUAUUCAUGAGUGAAAUAAAUGACUGUUACUAAGUAAUUAAUUUUUGGGUGGCUGUUAUGUAGCAGUAGAUAAUUGGAACAAAGCUUAUUGACAUAAUACAUCUAUAUCACAUCCUCCAAUCCAUUUUUUUAAGUAAUAAAGUUGAUGUUUGUUUUGAUUUUCAGUUACAGCUUUACAUAUUUUGUCUUAAUUAGUCAAUUUUUUCCAAACUCAAAAUGGGUUUUUGUAAGAGUAGUAGUAGGGUCCUAGAAUAAUGGCAAUUCUCUUUCACUGGAGAAAGUUUUGUAGAGAAGACAAAAGAAUUUUUACAAGUACUCCACUGGUGAAAACUCAUAAACCUUGAAGGUAUUUUUAAAUUCAUCAUGCAUUUAUCAAUUUAUAAAUGAAUUCAUCAUUCAUUGGUCCAUUCAUCCAUCCCUCCAUCCAUUUCUAGAUCCUCUCAUAAGAGGAAAUCUAGGAAUAAGCCUGAUCAGUGAAAGUUUCAUGGGAAAGAGGAAGGAGGAAGAAAUUAUUUUAUUUUUAGAGUUUUGGGAGUUAGUGGUUAUGGACUUGCACUGGAGAAGAUGGGUGAGAAAGUUCAAGGUUUCUAAAAUGGGAAAGUAGGCCUGGAGAAAAUGUUGCAACCAAGAUUAUAAGGCCAAUUACCAGGUCUGAUUACCAGAAAAUAAUUUUUAAGGCAGGAAUAUUAGGCCAUAUCAGUACCUGAAAGAGUGAUCGAGGCUAAUUUGUUCAUUCAUGUAACAACAAUUUAUUAUGUGCUACUAAGUACCAUCACUAUAUUAUAAACUGAGGGUUCAGUAGUGGAUAAGAGAAACUAAUUCCCUGGCCUAAUGAAGAUUUCAUUCAACGGGGAAAACAAGAAACAUAUAUGUAAAUUAGCAAAAGUUAAUAAUAUCAUUCAAAGAGUGCUAAGAGCUCUGAAAAUAGUAAAGCAGGGUGACUGAUAAAACAGGACUAAGCAGGUAACAGUAAGAGGUGAUCAGGGAAAAAACCUCUGAAGAAAACAUAUUUGAUCUGGAAUCCAAAUGGCAAGUAGAAUGAAGAAGGUAAAUAAUUCAUACAAGAGCAUAUCUCUUCCAUAGCAAGUGCAAAGACCCUGGGCAAAUGCCAUAGUUGAGCUAGCACCCACCACUGGCUUCAAGUGAUGGGUGAGUGAUACAGACUCAAGGAAAGGGCCAAAAGGGCAGACAAAACCAGUUCAAUUUGUCACUUAUUCAUCCACCCAUUGAUCCAUCUACUGAUCCAUUUAUCCAUCCAUCCAUCCAUCCAUCCAUCCAUCCAUCCAUCCAUCUAUUCAACAUACAUGUUGGGUGCCCUUUACAUACCAGGACCUGUACUGGGCAUGGGAACUGCAGAGAUGAAAAGAUGAACAAUCUCUGUACUUGAGGGACUCAUCUCACUCUGUGAGAUGAACUGGCAUGUGACUGAAAACUCACUAUAUUGGUAACGAGACUAAAACACAGAGCUUAAUGAUUUAACCUGAUACCACCCAAGUGGUUAGCGGUUAGUGGCAGGGCUUCAGAAUUUUAUUUUCCUUCCCUACAGGGAAAACCAUUAUGUGUGACCUACUUUUUCAAACUCUCUUCCUCAGUGGGGCAACAAUUAGAGUUUAUCUAUUGCUAGUGCUUACCAUUUUAGGCUCCUUUAAUUAGAGUGUUUUAAAUUAGUGUUAUUUUAAUUUUGCUUAUCUCCUGAGACAUUAUAGAGGAUAAAUAGCAAAUGAAAUAAUGUACAUGAAAACACAUUGUAACCCAUAAACCAUCAUACAGAUGUGUGUUAUAUACAGUUUUAUAUUUGAGGAUAUAGCUUUAUGCAUUAGUACUGCUUCCUCCUCAGGGAUGUCUCCAAAAGAAUUCAGAGUAAAACAGACUUGUGGAUUGAUGCUUUAAAGACAUUUUGUAUUUUCUUUAAAAAUAAAAUUGACUCACAGUAGGUGCUUAAUAAAUAUUUGUUCAAAGAAUGCAUAAGAUGCAAUAUUCAGAGACAUAGAUUCAGUGUAGUAGGCAUCAGUGUGGCUACUUGGCUACUUACUGUGCAAAAGAUGUCAAUUUGUGAGUGCAAAUUCAUCUUAAGGAAAUUCUCUGAUUUAAUUUAAGCAUUGGUAGAGAGAUUUACUAUUAUCCUCCUUGGAAAUGAAAAGCAUAUAGCUCAGGGAAGGAAGAUCACAUUUUUAGGAGAACUAUCUGGGGGCAGAUUACCCAAAGUGUUAAUUAUUAUAAUUACUAUUGUUAAGUUGGUUUUAAAGUCCUAUAUGAUGUAAUAUCAUGUUCUCUUUUUGUUUCUCCAG
rnacentral:lncRNA from 1 species